rnacentral:rRNA from 1 species
UGGGGAAUAUUGCACAAUGGGCGAAAGCCUGAUGCAGCAACGCCGCGUGCGGGAUGACGGCCUUCGGGUUGUAAACCGCUUUCAGCAGGGACGAAGGGUUUUCUGACGGUACCUGCAGAAGAAGCACCGGCUAACUACGUGCCAGCAGCCGCGGUGAUACGUAGGGUGCGAGCGUUGUCCGGAAUUAUUGGGCGUAAAGAGCUUGUAGGCGGUCCGUUGCGUCGGAAGUGAAAACUCAGGGCUUAACCCUGAGCCUGCUUCGUACGGGCGGACUUGAGGGAUGUAGGGGAGAACGGAAUUCCUGGUGGAGCGGUGGAAUGCGCAGAUAUCAGGAGGAACACCAGUGGCGAAGCGGUUCUCUGGACAUUUCCUGACGCUGAG